AUUGAACGCUGGCGGCAGGCCUUACACAUGCAAGUCGAGCGGAGCGGCGGACGGGUGAGUAAUGCCUAGGAAUCUGCCUGGUAGUGGGGGAUAACGUCCGGAAAUGGGCGCUAAUACCGCAUACUAUCAGAUGAGCCUCUGUCGGAUUAGCUAGUUGGUGGGGUAAAGGCCUACCAAGGCGACGAUCCGUAACUGGUCUGAGAGGAUGAUCAGUCACACUGGAACUGAGACAAGGUCCAGACUCCUACGGGAGGCAGCAGUGGGGAAUGUUGGACAAUGGGGGAAAGCCUGAUCCAGCCAUGCCGCGUGUGUGAUGAAGGUCUUCGGGUUGUAAAGCACUUUAGGUUGGGAGGCGUUACCAGCAGAAUAAGCACCGGCUAACUUCGUGCCAGCAGCCGCGGUAAUAC
rnacentral:rRNA from 1 species